GUGUUACAGGUGGUAUGGUGGGCGUGGUCCAAGCAGUAUAAAAGCGGAAGCUGCAAACUUUCUUAAAAGGUGUCAGUUUCCAUGGGACGCCAGGACGUAUCUGGGUUCCACACGUAGAUUUGUCAAGAAUGUGGGAGGCCCUGCGGGUUUUUUAGACCAGGCUGUGUAUACAGGCAGAUGAGGGUGGUGUACGCGAUACAGAGAUGUUUUUUGUUGCUCCUGCUGUCCU